GGUUUUUCUGAUGGUCUCUGUCAUAUUAGCGAAGAAUUCAUGGAGAAAGAAAGGUAAAGGACGUGCUUUUUGCAUGCGGAAUUCGAGAAUCUGUUACAAAGGAAAGCUGUGUAUAAAACCGGACUCUUCACGCUAUUGUAGAUGUCCACCUCGUUGGACAGGAACAGAUUGUCGUCAAAAGUUAGGUAAAGGACGUGAUUUUUGCUUGCGGAAUCGGAGAAUCUGUUACAAAGGAAAGCUGUGUAUCAAACCGGAC